AAUUAGGUAUUCGUCGGAAUCCCUAACUCAUAAUCUUUCACCCAAUUUGGCGGACGGCCCUGGCGCAUCGAUCUCCUGAUCGAACUCGGUUCAGAUUCGUUGAGCGAACUUGGAUCAUCGGCGUCUCUCGUUUCUUCAACUAAGUCCGCCUCCCUUGCUUGAGUUCUUAUCUUCUCCACGUCUCCUUGUAUUGCUCUGCUGUCUACUAGAAUCGCAUCAUAGCAUGUUGUGAUUUUUUAUUUUAAAUAAAUUCAAAUAAUAGCAGGUCAGCAUUUGAUAGUAGCAUAAUUUAGUAUUUUUGUUUAUUAUUAAAAAUAAAUAUUAAUAGGUCAAUAUUAGAUAGCAGUAUGUUGAUCAUAAUUUACAUGUUAGACAGGUGUUGAUCUAGCCACUUGCACUUGGUCCUCU
rnacentral:lncRNA from 1 species